AAUUACUGGGCGUAAAGCGCGCGUAGGUGGUUUAUUAAGUUGGGUGUGAAAGCCCCGGGCUCAACCUGGGAACUGCAUCCAAAACUGAUUCACUAGAGUACGAAAGAGGGAGGUAGAAUUCACAGUGUAGCGGUGGAAUGCGUAGAUAUUGUGAAGAAUAUCAAUGGCGAAGGCAGCCUCCUGGUUCUGUACUGACACUGAGGUGCGAAAGCGUGGGUAGCGAACAGGAUUAGAUACCCUGGUAGUCCACGCCGUAAACGAUGACAACUAGCUGUUGGGAAGCAAUGCUUUUCAGUGGCGCAGCUAACGUAUUAAGUUGUCCGCCUGGGGAGUACGGCCGCAAGGUUAAAACUCAAAUGAAUUGACGGGGACCCGCACAAGCGGUGGAGCAUGUGGUUUAAUUCGAUGCAACGCGAAAAACCUUACCUACUCUUGACAUCCUUGGAAUCUCUUGUAAUGAGAGAGUGCCUUUUGGAACCAAGUGACAGGUGCUGCAUGGCUGUCGUCAGCUCGUGUCGUGAGAUGUUCCGUUAAGUCGGAUAACGAGCGCAACCCUUACCCUUAUUUGCCAGCGGUUCGGCCGGGAACUAUAAGGGGACUGCCGGUGAUAAACCGGAGGAAGGUGAGGAUGACGUCAAGUCAUCAUGGCCCUUACGAGUAGGGCUACACACGUGCUACAAUGGGAAGUACAGAGGGACGCCAAAGCGUGAGCUGGAGCUAAUCUCAUAAAACUUUUCGUAGUCCGGAUUGCAGUCUGCAACUCGACUGCAUGAAGUCGGAAUCGCUAGUAAUCGCGGAUCAGCACGCCGCGGUGAAUACGUUCUCGGGUCUUGUACACACCGCCCGUCACACCAUGGGAGUGUAUUGCACCAGAAGUAGGUAGUCUAACCUUCGGGAGGGCGCUUACCACGGUGUGGUCCAUGACUGGGGUGAAGUCGUAACAAGGUAGCCGUAGGGGAACCUGUGGCUG
rnacentral:rRNA from 1 species